rnacentral:ribozyme from 1 species
UGCCCAGCAACUCCUAUCCCUACCUCCUCGUGGUACUGGCCGGGGUACGAGUAACCUUGGGGAAGAUCGGGACCAACCCCCGGUGGGAACUUUGGUCGUAUGCUGACAGGGAAGG